rnacentral:rRNA from 1 species
CCUACGGGGGGCAGCAGUGAGGCAUAUUGGUCAAUGGGCGCGAGCCUGAACCAGCCAAGUAGCGUGAAGGAUGACUGCCCUACGGGUUGUAAACUUCUUUUAUAAAGGAAUAAAGUGAGGCACGUGUGCCUUUUUGUAUUUACUUUAUGAAUAAGGAUCGGCUAACUCCGUGCCAGCCGCCGCGGUAAUACGGAGGAUCCGGGCGUUUUCCGGAUUUAUUGGGUUUAAAGGGAGCGUAAAUGGGUUGUUAAAGCAGUUGUGAAAGUUUGCGGCUCAACCGUAAAAUUGCAAUUGAUACUGGCAGCCUUGAGUACAGGUGAGGUAGGCGGAAUUCGUGGUGUAGCGGUGAAAUGCUUAG